AUGGAAGUAGAUACACUGAAGGAUGAAUUCAAUCGUGUUGUUAAAAAGCAGAAACUUGCAUCGUCGAGAACUAUAGAUUUGGUAAACCAAAUCGAGAAAGAAAUUGAGCAGGCUAUCGGUGCUAUCCAAGAAAAUGGCACAGAUAGGGAUGCUGCAUCAAACCUGAACCAUGAAAUUCUUACCAAUCUGAAGAAUACGCUGAAAGAGUUGGUUCCAGUGAAGCAACUUGAGAGCUGCCAGAAAGAAAUGAACACUGCACUCGGCAAGUGGGUCAAGACCACCGAGAAAUUCUUCAUCAAUGAUAUUUCAAAAGCUUACAAGAAUGUCGACAUGGAACCACAUGUACUUAAUGAGAUUAUUGCAAACCAUCUAUACCGGGAGGCAUUAUUUGACAUAGGUGACAACUUUCUAGGAGAGGCCAGUUGCUUAGCAUCUAUAAAACUGAAACAACUGUUUCAGGAGAUGUAUGAGAUUUUUGGUGCGCUGCGGACUGAGAAAUCUGAGCCAGCUCUGAGUUGGGCAAUGAAAAAUCAUGAUGCACUACUGCAAAACGAUUCCUGUCUCGAGCUUAAGCUUCACCAGUUGCAGUUUGUUGAGAUACUCAAGCAAGGAAAAAGAGAUGAGGCUCUUCAGUAUGCUAGGACAUACCUCGCGCCAUUUGCUACCAUACACAAGGAUGUAAUCCAGAAGCUGAUAGCCUCCAUAUUAUGGGCCGGGCGCCUUGACCAGUCACCAUAUACAGAGUUCUUAGUACCAACUAACUGGGAGAAGCUAGCUGAGGAGUUCGCUCAACAGUUCUGCAAUCUGAAGGGUCAAUCCUCCACAGGUCCUAUGGGCAUGACAGUUGCAGCUGGAGCUGAAGUGUUGCCAAUUCUUCUUAAACUGAUGACGGUACUAACUGCAAAAAGGGAGUGGCACUCUAUGAAGGAAUUUCCUUUCCCAUUGGACCUCCGCAGGGAUUUUCAGUUCCACUCAGUGUUCAUCUGUCCUGUGCUUCGUGAGCAAGGUAGUGAUGAUAAUCCUCCAAUGCUUCUUCCAUGUGGGCAUGUCUUGUCGAAGCAGUCGACUGUGAAAUUAUCAAAGAGCAGCUCCCGGUCUUUCAAAUGCCCAUAUUGCCCGUUCGAAGCAUUGGCAUCUGAGUGUAAGCGGCUUUAUAUCUGA
rnacentral:rRNA from 1 species